rnacentral:tRNA from 1 species
UAGCUCAGCGGGAGAGCGCUUCCCUGACACGGAAGAGGUCACUGGUUCAAUCCCAGUAUCGCGCACCG